UACGGGAGGCAGCAGUGAGGAAUAUUGGACAAUGGAGGCAACUCUGAUCCAGCCAUGCCGCGUGUAGGAAGACUGCCCUAUGGGUUGUAAACUACUUUUAUAUGGGAAGAAUAAGGUCUACGUGUAGACUGAUGACGGUACCAUAAGAAUAAGCACCGGCUAACUCCGUGCCAGCAGCCGCGGUAAU
rnacentral:rRNA from 1 species